CCUCGAUGUCGGCUCAUCGCAUCCUGGGGCUGUAGUCGGUCCCAAGGGUUGGGCUGUUCGCCCAUUAAAGCGGUACGCGAGCUGGGUUCAGAACGUCGUGAGACAGUUCGGUCCCUAUCCGUCGUGGGCGCAGGAAAUUUGAGAGGAUCUGUCCUUAGUACGAGAGGACCGGGAUGGACAUACCUCUGGUGUACCAGUUGUUCUGCCAAGAGCACCGCUGGGUAGCUACGUAUGGAUUAGAUAAUCGCUGAAAGCAUCUAAGUGAGAAACUAACCUCGAGAUGAGAUUUCCCAUUCGUCAGAAGUAAGACCCCUGAGAGACGAUCAGGUAGAUAGGCUAGAAGUGGAAGUGUAGUGAUGCAUGGAGCGGACUAGUACUAAUAGGUCGAGGACUUAACCAAG
rnacentral:rRNA from 1 species